GGCGGCAGUAGAGCGGCGACCGACGCUCCAGGCAGACGCAGGCGACGCAGGGUGUUUCGUGGAUUUCAUGUGGCAUCUUCCAUGAUUACAAAAUUGGCGUAAGGAUUCGAGCCAGCUCCACACAAGUCUAGAGUGAUCGGACUGGAGCACACCGGCAUCCAACUUCAGCUGCAGUGGAGGAGAAGAUUAGCUGUAGCGACUGGUAAACAGCUUUCGCAACGACACGGCGAAGCCAGCCGAGAGACUAUACCGAGCUAGGCCGGACUGGUCUAAACACCCCACGGCUCCGGUAAAGG